AGAUGCCUUUAGUUUCCUGCUUUAUAUUUCAGGUGUGUAUUUGCAGCUAAUUAAAGCCCAUCCCCUGGGCUGCAGCUGGUGGCUUUACAAAUGGAAGGAAAGUGCCUGCAGCAUAGUAGCUAGUGUAAUGUCUGUUUGAAUUUGGAAAUGUUUAACCUACCUCAAUAGUAGAUGAAGUGUUUUAUAGCGUGUGGUCCACGGGAACACUUAAAAUGAAUUUCUGCAUGCUGGAAUGCUCUUUCAGUGCAUUGAAAGAGGUGAAGGUGGUGAUUAAAGCAAAUUGGAAAGCCCUGGGCACUCUUAUUGCUUCAGCCUCAGGGCUGUGCAGAUGACUUCUUUGCUUCUCAGCAACCAGUAACAAUACGUGGAAACAACGAUUUCUAAUGAAAACCGUCAGUAUUCAAAAUAGGCGAAGCCUCUUGUUCUAUUCAUGUUCCAUGUGAAACUUGAAGUCCCAUUGAAGGCUGCAGUGGUGCAAAAAGCUCUUCCUCUGUGGAAAAUUCAGAUCAGAAAGAAUCCGAGAAAAAUACUUGAGGAAAGCUUCUUGCUCUGA
rnacentral:lncRNA from 1 species